UUACCGAACUGCGCAUGUUGCUGCGUAGGCGCGCUAGACAUGCCUUGAUUUCCGGACCCUUCUUAAGGUAUAAAUACGGCUACUUCGGGCUUGCUCCAUCUUUCGGACAAAGGGUAUCUCACGUUUCUUCCUACUUUGAAUUCACUGAAGAGUCCAGGUAACUUGGUGGGGGGAAAGGGGGACCACGCUGGAUUUGGCCAUUCACCUGGAAGACGUGUUCAGAAAUACAGUGAAUGCUGCUGCUAAGUCCCAUCCAAGGGAAAGGGAGGGAUCCUCAAUACAAGAAGCAGUUUGUGGAACCAUAGAAAUAGUGUGACAAGUUUUAAACUUGUUGGAUGAGCUUUGGUUGAGAAAAAGUGUUUUUGACUCUGCUGCAAAUAAUGGAUCACGAACAACGCAUUAACGUGGAAUUUUGUUUCAAACUACAAAAAACUGCUAAAGAAACACAUGAGAUGUUAAAAUUAGUUUAUGGUGAUGGUGCAGUGACUAUGGAGACAGUUUCCGAGUGGUUUGAGCAAUUUCGUAAUGGCUGUGAAUCAGUUGAAGACAAAAAGAAUGUCCUUCAACAUCAAAAACCGAAAAAAAGAUUAAAAGAAUGAGUGAAAUGAUUAGAUCAGACAGUUGACUAUUAAGGACAUUUCAGAGGAUCUGAAGGUCCUUUCCAUUCAAAGCAUUUUAGCAAAUUUUAAUACAAGGGGAGUAUCACAUUUGUUCCACAUGUUUGACUGCUGAACAAAAGAUGUCCAUUUGUUAUUCUCUUUGGAGCUGUGCACUCUGCCACUUCAGGUUCCAUUACUUUAGUAAAUGUCAUCAGGGGACAGAAACUAAGGUCUGUGAUUAUGAUGCUGAGACCAAGUUUCCAAGUUCUCAGUGGAAAUCACCCAGGUGGCCUUUUGUGAGAAAAGCGCAUCAGUCAAGAUCCAACAAGGUGAUACUGUGUUUUUUGACCUUGAUGGAAUUGUGGGAUUUGAGUUUGUAACAAGGAAUCCUGAAUAUUCCAAGAGCUUAUUAGAACAUUUACAAAAUGAUGUGUGAAGAAGGCAGCCUGAGAAAUGGGCAUACAGUUUUAUCCUCCCAUCAUUACAGCGAUCCAUGUCAUGUAUCACUUGAUACAGCAAUUUGUUUCUGCCUUAUCGGAUCUGACACUGCAAGUUCUUGCUCUUCCCCAAAGUCAAAAUGACCAUGAAAGGUGAACAUUUUCAAUAGAUUCAGAUUUCAAGGUAGCCAACAGCAUAAGUAAAGUCACAAAAGAGAACUGCUUCAGGGUCUUGCUGAAUUACCCAGGCUGGGCUGCAAGGCAUAUAAACUAAAAAGUCUGCUAUUCCAAUAUCAAAGACUGGAAUCACUCAAUAAUUGUCAAAUUCUUUUGUCACCCCAGAUAUGUUUGACCUGUAUAAGGAAUUUUUUUUUUUUGGUACUGGGGAUUAAACUCAGGACCUUGUGCUUUUGAGUCUAUAAGGAAUUUAAGGCACUGGGGAUAGGUCAAUUAAAAACGUAGGAGUAUGGCUCCUGGCCUUUGCCUCAAUCUCCAGCACCCCAAAAGUCCUGCCAAAUUGAAAUUUCUCAUAUUUGGCUUUUUCUACCAUUCUCAAGGAGAUGGUGGUUUCCAAGCAAAACUAGCCAUGUUUUUAAAUGAAUAAAUUCCACAUGAACUAUACCUAGCAUUUCAAAUCAGAGUUCUCAAUGAAUUGAAAUAGAUGAC